rnacentral:rRNA from 1 species
AUGGCGACGACCAGCAACAAGAAAAUGGCGUCGCCGUCGCCUAUGCCGGACAUGCCCGACCAGCUCCUCGCCGAGAUAUUCCUCCGGCUGCCCACCCCACAAGACCUCGCCCGCGCCUCCGCCGUCUGCCUCACCCUCCGCCGAAUCUCCACCGACAGGUCCUUCCUCCGCUGCUUCCGCUGCCUCCACGCACCACCGCUUCUCGGAUUCCUCGACCGCGACGGCUUCCACCCAGCCCUACCCUCCACCCCCGCCGUCCGCGCGGUCGCCGCCGCCGCCGAUUUCACCUUCUCCUUCCUCCCCUACCACCGCCGCUGGACCGUGCAGGACGUCCGCGACGGCCGCGUCCUCCUCUCCCGCAGCACCGGGAAACAUGGGCAGCCCCCGGUCUUCAGAGAUCUCGCGGUGUGCGACCCCUUGCACCGGCGCUACGUCCUGCUCCCCCCGCUACCUCACGACCUAGCUGCUUUGCUUGGGCACCCAUUCCCCCCGGUAACCGAGGCCUGCUGCAAGCGCUUCCUCGUUCCCCUCGGCGAGGAGGAGGCAGCGGCUGGAGACACAACAUUCAGAGUCAUCUUGAUGGCGUAUUGCAAAACCAGUCUGGCCGCCUUUGUCUUCUCUUCCAGCAACGAUCGAUGGCGAGCUACUGCAUCCAAGGAUUUGAGUGAUUUGGCCCUUGACGAGGGCGACAUGGAGGAGAUGUCAAGGGUCCAGCCUUUUAUUCCCAUGCGCCAUUAUGCUUAUGGCUGUUUCUACUGGGAUUGGGUGCAAUUCGGGAUGAAGAAGUUGCUCUUGCUUGACACCACCGACAUGGAGUUCUCCGCUGCUGACCUCCCACCAGGAGAAUGGAGCAAGGAAGGUAUAGCCAUUGUGGAGGCAGGGGAAGGCAGGCUCGGGAUCUUUGGUUUCCGUGGUGAACCUGCAUCCAGUCUCAGCUAUACCGCUGCACGGACCAAAGGCGAGAGUCCCAGCCAGUGGCAGAUGGAGAAGACAAUCUCACUAGAUUCUGGCUACAAAUAUUGUAUCAGAGAUGCAACACAGAGGUACUUGCUCUUGACAAGGAUAGAAGCAUCAUCUCUAAAUAAUCACCUUGUUGGAUAUUUCUCAAUGGAUAUCAAGACGUUGGAGCUUCAGAGGGUUUAUGAGAAACAACACUACUCUAAGUAUCAGACAUACACAUAUGUCAACUUCCCACCAUCAUUGUUGUCUUCAAGGAGAAUAUGAAGUGGUUUGACAGAGCAGUACGUAAUCAUAUCAGCAUUCUUAAUUCAAAGCGACCAUGGUUUCAACAGCUUGGAGUUCUCACAUACGUGAUCACUUUGCCUACAGAACAACACGAUCUACAUUGCCUUGCCUGGUGGUGGCCAUGUCAAUGUUUCGGUUAUUAGGCCUAACAUCAAUGUGGAAUUUCCCUGCCUAAGAAUGUGGCUUUGAUAUUAGGAGUUCAAGUCAAUUUUUUUCUUCAUUAUUAGUUAGAGUUGCUAAAACAGGUACAAUCUGACUAGUGGCAGAACGAUCACAACGGAACUGAUAACCAAUGUAAGGACAAUAUAAGCAGCACCAGCAUGCAGCUGGAGGGACUUGUUCUUUGUUGUUGCUGCUGCUGCUGUACGGUGAAGGGUAGGCAGCAAAAAAG